AGGGGAUAAGCAGUGGUGUUGAUUGAUAAUACAAAACAUUAUAUCUUCGUAGUUGUGUACGAGUGGGACGGCAGGUGUACUGUAAAGGAAGUAGAAGUAAAUAUUAAAUUUAAACUAAAGGUUUAAAGGUGAAUGCUUUUUCCUUUUGCAUAAUGAUUUAACUAGAGUUCAUUAGGCGUAAUCUUUGUGUCUAACUCCCCGAAAUUAAGCGAGCUACCUUGGGUUAAGUAAUGGAUGGCUAAACCAGUUUAUGUUGCAAUAUGAUUGGGAAAAUUCAGGGUAGAGGUGAUAUGCUAAACGCGCUUAAUUAUAGCUGGUUGCUUAAGAAAUGAAUGUAAGUUCAGCCUAAUAAUUUAUAUGGUGGAAUUAGUCGGAAUAUGCUGAUCAAUUUAUCUGUAAACAAACAUUUACUACAACUAAAUUGUGCAAUCCUAUUUGUGGGCUUAAAAGCAGCCAUCGGCUUGUGAAAGCGUUAAAGCUUUAAAUGCACACAAAACGAUAAUUUAGACGGGUAUUAAGCAGUCUUAGAGAUAAACAUUUGUCUGUUAAAAUGCGUAGGAAGUAAGCUUACUUUAAUGCAUGCGUAAAUAGAGUUACACUUCCUUAGGUAGCGAGUGAAGACCUAAAAGUUAUUCUGACUCAAGAGCAUUGUUAUAGUCGAUAAGUAGAAAGUAGGAAUUCGGCAAAUCGUGAGCUCGCCUGUUUACCAAAAACAUCGCCUUUAGUUUCAUGAUUAAAGGUCUGGUCUGCCCAGUGUUGUAAUUAACGGCCGCGGUAUUUUGACUGUGCAAAGGUAGCAUAAUCACUUGCUCUUUAAAUGGGAGAAUGUAUGAAUGAUUAGACGAGGUUCCAACUGUCUUCUUUCUAGACUCCUAGAUUUCAUUGUUUGUGAAAAUGCAGACAUGCUAUAAAGGACGAGAAGACCCUGUUGAGCUUUAUAACAUAUACUGUAAGUUAAUUAAUGCAAUAAUUGUUGAUAAAACUACUGGAUAGAGGUAUUUUGCUGGGGUGGCAAACAAAGAUAUUAAGCUUUGUUAUACAUUAUCAUCCUGAGACUGGUUGUGUCAAGGGUGCUGCUGUUGACCCGCUAUGAGCGAUCGCUAGAAUAAGUUACCACAGGGGUAACAGCGUAAUUUUCUCUGAGAGCCCAUAUUGACGGGAAAGUUUGCGACCUCGAUGUUGGAUCAAGAUUCCUUGUGGUGUAGCAGUUACAAAGGGUUUGCCUGUUCGGCGAUUAAAAUCUUACGUGAUCUGAGUUCAGACCGUCGUAAGACAGGUUAGAUUCUAUCCUUAAGUUUAUGGGCCUAGUACGAAAGGACCGGCUACAUGUGAUUUUAAGUUUGUGCUAAAUCAU
rnacentral:rRNA from 1 species